UAGAGUUUGAUCCUGGCUCAGAUUGAACGCUGGCGGCAUGCCUUACACAUGCAAGUCGAACGGCAGCACGGGAGCAAUCCUGGUGGCGAGUGGCGAACGGGUGAGUAAUACAUCGGAACGUGCCCAGUAGUGGGGGAUAGCCCGGCGAAAGCCGGAUUAAUACCGCAUACGACCUACGGGUGAAAGCGGGGGAUCGCAAGACCUCGCGCUGUUGGAGCGGCCGAUGGCAGAUUAGCUUGUUGGUGGGGUAAAGGCCUACCAAGGCGACGAUCUGUAGCUGGUCUGAGAGGACGACCAGCCACACUGGGACUGAGACACGGCCCAGACUCCUACGGGAGGCAGCAGUAGGGAAUUUUCCACAAUGGGCGAAAGCCUGAUGGAGCAACGCCGCGUGAACGAG
rnacentral:rRNA from 1 species